GAUGAAUGCUGGCGGCGUGCCUAAUACAUGCAAGUCGAGCGAACGGACGAGAAGCUUGCUUUUCUGAUGUUAGCGGCGGACGGGUGAGUAACACGUGGAUAACCUACCUAUAAGACUGGGAUAACUUCGGGAAACCGGAGCUAAUACCGGAUAAUAUUUUGAACCGCAUGGUUCAAAAGUGAAAGAUGGUCUUGCUGUCACUUAUAGAUGGAUCCGCGCUGCAUUAGCUAGUUGGUAAGGUAACGGCUUACCAAGGCAACGAUGCAUAGCCGACCUGAGAGGGUGAUCGGCCACACUGGAACUGAGACACGGUCCAGACUCCUACGGGAGGCAGCAGUAGGGAAUCUUCCGCAAUGGGCGAAAGCCUGACGGAGCAACGCCGCGUGAGUGAUGAAGGUCUUCGGAUCGUAAAACUCUGUUAUUAGGGAAGAACAUAUGUGUAAGUAACUGUGCACAUCUUGACGGUACCUAAUCAGAAAGCCACGGCUAACUACGUG
rnacentral:rRNA from 1 species